rnacentral:tRNA from 1 species
UUCUAAAAUGGCAGAAAGAUGUAUAGGACUUAAACCCCUACAAGGAAGAUUUUUUUUUUCUUCUUUUAGAAU